ensembl:lncRNA
CAAGCAAAACAUUAAGGUAUAAAUACAGCAAAAAAUCAAGAUAGAAAAUCAGUCAAGCUGAAGACUUUACCUUAUCCUGCCUGACGACGCAAGACUGAGGUAAAAAUGGACUGUUGUUACAAUUACAGUUGAUAUUUAUCUGUUAUGACAAUUUUUUUCCCUUUUAGACAAUGAAGAUCCCUGUUGUGUUCCUGAUUGUUGCACUUGUAACUCUCACCAGUGCAGCUCCAACACAAAACAGUGCUUCUAAAAACAAAGACGAGACUUCACAACAAUUUAUCCACCAUAUUGUCAAUGCUUUCAAGAAGCUUUUUGGGGAUCAAAGUGAGGCUGUAAAUGACGAAGCCAGUGAAGAAUUCAUCCACCAUAUUGUCAAUGCUUUCAAGAAGCUUUUUGGGGAUCAAGGUGAGGCUGUAAACGACGAAGCCAGUCAAGAAUUUAUCCACCAUAUUGUCAAUGCUUUCAAGAAGCUUUUUGGGGAUCAGGGUGAGGCUGUAAACGACGAAGCCAGUCAAGAAUUCAUCCACCAUAUCGUCAAUGCUUUCAAGAAGCUUUUUGGGGAUCAGGGUAAGGCUGUAAAUGACGAAGUCAGUCAAAAAUUUAUCCACCAUAUUGUCAAUGCUUUCAAGAAGCUUUUUGGGGAUCAGGGUGAGGCUGUAAACGACGAAGCCAGUCAAGAAUUUAUCCACCAUAUCGUCAAUGCUUUCAAGAAGCUUUUUGGGGAUCAGGGUGAGGCUGUAAACGACGAAGCCAGUCAAGAAUUUAUCCACCAUAUCGUCAAUGCUUUCAAGAAGCUUUUUGGGGAUCAAAGUGAGGCUGUAAAUGACGAAGCCAGUCAAGAAUUCAUCCACCAUAUUGUCAAUGCUUUCAAGAAGCUUUUUGGGGAUCAGGGUGAGGCUGUAAACGACGAAGCCAGUCAAGAAUUUAUCCACCAUAUCGUCAAUGCUUUCAAGAAGAUUUUUGGGGAUCAGGGUGAGGCUGUAAACGACGAAGCCAGUCAAGAAUUUAUCCACCAUAUCGUCAAUGCUUUCAAGAAGCUUUUUGGGGAUCAGGGUGAGGCUGUAAACGACGAAGCCAGUCAAGAAUUUAUCCACCAUAUCGUCAAUGCUUUCAAGAAGCUUUUUGGAGAUCAGGGUAAGGCUGUAAAAGACGAAGCUAGUCAAAAAUUUAUCCACCAUAUUGUCAAUGCUUUCAAGAAGCUUUUUGGGGAUCAGGGUGAGGCUGUAAACGACGAAGUCAGUCAAAAAUUUAUCCACCAUAUCGUCAAUGCUUUCAAGAAGCUUUUUGGGGAUCAGGGUGAGGCUGAAAAAGAUGAAGCUACCCAGAAGUUGAUUGGUUUAGCACUUGGUGCUAUUAGUGCUUUAUCACACCUUUUCGGGGAUCAGGGUGAGGCUGUAAACGACGAAGCCAGUCAAGAAUUUAUCCACCAUAUCGUCAAUGCUUUCAAGAAGCUUUUUGGGGAUCAGGGUGAGGCUGUAAACGACGAAGCCAGUCAAGAAUUUAUCCACCAUAUCGUCAAUGCUUUCAAGAAGCUUUUUGGGGAUCAGGGUGAGGCUGUAAACGACGAAGUCAGUCAAAAAUUUAUCCACCAUAUUGUCAAUGCUUUCAAGAAGCUUUUUGGGGAUCAGGGUGAGGCUGUAAACGACGAAGCCAGUCAAGAAUUUAUCCACCAUAUCGUCAAUGCUUUCAAGAAGCUUUUUGGGGAUCAGGGUGAGGCUGUAAACGACGAAGCCAGUCAAGAAUUCAUCCACCAUAUCGUCAAUGCUUUCAAGAAGCUUUUUGGGGAUCAGGGUAAGGCUGUAAAUGACGAAGUCAGUCAAAAAUUUAUCCACCAUAUUGUCAAUGCUUUCAAGAAGCUUUUUGGGGAUCAAGGUGAGGCUGUAAACGACGAAGCCAGUCAAGAAUUUAUCCACCAUAUCGUCAAUGCUUUCAAGAAGCUUUUUGGGGAUCAGGGUGAGGCUGUAAACGACGAAGCCAGUCAAGAAUUUAUCCACCAUAUCGUCAAUGCUUUCAAGAAGCUUUUUGGGGAUCAAAGUGAGGCUGUAAAUGACGAAGCCAGUCAAGAAUUCAUCCACCAUAUUGUCAAUGCUUUCAAGAAGCUUUUUGGGGAUCAGGGUGAGGCUGUAAACGACGAAGCCAGUCAAGAAUUUAUCCACCAUAUCGUCAAUGCUUUCAAGAAGAUUUUUGGGGAUCAGGGUGAGGCUGUAAACGACGAAGCCAGUCAAGAAUUUAUCCACCAUAUCGUCAAUGCUUUCAAGAAGCUUUUUGGGGAUCAGGGUGAGGCUGUAAACGACGAAGUCAGUCAAGAAUUCAUCCACCAUAUUGUCAAUGCUUUCAAGAAGCUUUUUGGGGAUCAGGGUGAGGCUGUAAACGACGAAGUCAGUCAAAAAUUUAUCCACCAUAUUGUCAAUGCUUUCAAGAAGCUUUUUGGGGAUCAAGGUGAGGCUGUAAACGACGAAGCCAGUCAAGAAUUUAUCCACCAUAUCGUCAAUGCUUUCAAGAAGCUUUUUGGGGAUCAGGGUGAGGCUGAAAAAGAUGAAGCCACCCAGAAGUUGAUUGGUUUAGCACUUGGUGCUAUUAGUGCUUUAUCACACCUUUUCGGGGAUCAGGGUGAGGCUGUAAAUGACGAAGCUAGUCAAGAAUUCAUCCACCAUAUUGUCAAUGCUUUCAAGAAGCUUUUUGGGGAUCAGGGUGAGGCUGUAAACGACGAAGCCAGUCAAGAAUUUAUCCACCAUAUCGUCAAUGCUUUCAAGAAGCUUUUUGGGGAUCAGGGUGAGGCUGUAAACGACGAAGCCAGUCAAGAAUUUAUCCACCAUAUCGUCAAUGCUUUCAAGAAGCUUUUUGGGGAUCAGGGUGAGGCUGAAAAAGAUGAAGCUACCCAGAAGUUGAUUGGUUUAGCACUUGGUGCUAUUAGUGCUUUAUCACACCUUUUCGGGGAUCAGGGUGAGGCUGUAAACGACGAAGCCAGUCAAGAAUUUAUCCACCAUAUCGUCAAUGCUUUCAAGAAGCUUUUUGGGGAUCAGGGUGAGGCUGUAAACGACGAAGCCAGUCAAGAAUUUAUCCACCAUAUCGUCAAUGCUUUCAAGAAGCUUUUUGGGGAUCAGGGUGAGGCUGUAAACGACGAAGUCAGUCAAAAAUUUAUCCACCAUAUUGUCAAUGCUUUCAAGAAGCUUUUUGGGGAUCAGGGUGAGGCUGUAAACGACGAAGCCAGUCAAGAAUUUAUCCACCAUAUCGUCAAUGCUUUCAAGAAGCUUUUUGGGGAUCAGGGUGAGGCUGUAAACGACGAAGCCAGUCAAAAAUUUAUCCACCAUAUUGUCAAUGCUUUCAAGAAGCUUUUUGGGGAUGUUUGAAGGUCUUUGGUAACAGAGAUCACAAGGUCAACUCUCAAGAGAAAAUAACCAAUAGCUUGGAAUGUACUGUACUAUUAUUCAGCUGCGAGUUGAAGGUUGGAACUUAGCAGUAGGGAAAUAAAAAUAUUUCAAAUGCACUAUCA